rnacentral:rRNA from 1 species
GACGAACGCUGGCGGCGUGCUUAACACAUGCAAGUCGAACGGAAAGGCCCUGCUUUUGUGGGGUGCUCGAGUGGCGAACGGGUGAGUAACACGUGAGUAACCUGCCCUUGACUUUGGGAUAACUUCAGGAAACUGGGGCUAAUACCGGAUAGGAGCUCCUGCUGCAUGGUGGGGGUUGGUAAGUUUCGGCGGUUGGGGAUGGACUCGCGGCUUAUCAGCUUGUUGGUGGGGUAGUGGCUUACCAAGGCUUUGACGGGUAGCCGGCCUGAGAGGGUGACCGGCCACAUUGGGACUGAGAUACGGCCCAGACUCCUACGGGAGGCAGCAGGGGGAAAUAUUGCACAAUGGGCGGAAGCCUGAUGCAGCAACGCCGCGUGCGGGAUGACGGCCUUCGGGUUGUAAACCGCUUUCGCCUGUGACGAAGCGUGAGUGACGGUAAUGGGUAAAGAAGCACCGGCUAACUACGUG